rnacentral:rRNA from 1 species
ACGCUACGGCGGCUAAUCAUGCAAGUCGAGGGGUACAGGAAGUGCUUGCACUUCGCUGACGACCGGCGCACGGGUGAGUAUCGCGUAUACAAUCUGCCUCAUACUAGGGGAUAGCCCGAAGAAAUUUGGAUUAAUGCCCUAUAGUAUCUUUUUAAGGCAUCUUAUUAAGAUUAAAGGUUACGGUAUGAGAUGAGUAUGCGUUCUAUUAGCUAGUAGGUGUGGUAACGGCACACCUAGGCUACGAUAGAUAGGGGCCCUGAGAGGGGGAUCCCCCACACUGGCACUGAGACACGGACCAGACUCCUACGGGAGGCAGCAGUAAGGAAUAUUGGUCAAUGGACGAAAGUCUGAACCAGCCAUGCCGCGUGCAGGAUGACUGCCCUAUGGGUUGUAAACUGAUUUUAUAUAGGAAGAAACACUUCUCGUGAGAAAGCUUGACGGUACUAUAAGAAUAAGGAUCGGCUAACUCCGUGCCAGCAGCCGCGGUAAUACGGAGGAUCCAAGCGUUAUCCGGAAUCAUUGGGUUUAAAGGGUCCGUAGGUGGACAAAUAAGUCCAGAGGUGAAAUCCUGCAGCUCAACUGUAGAACUGCCUUUGAUACUGUCUGUCUUGAGUUAUCAUGACGUGGUUAGAAUGUGUUGUGUAGCGGUGACAUGCCUAGAUAUUACCCAGAUACCGAUGCGAAGGCGAUACUUAUAUCAAUGACCUGAUGGACAAACGUGG